rnacentral:rRNA from 1 species
UACGUAGGGGGCAAGCGUUGUCCGGAUUUAUUGGGCGUAAAGAGCGUGUAGGCGGCUUGGUAGGUCCGCUGUGAAAACUCGAGGCUCAACCUCGAGCUGUCGGCAGAAACCAUCUGGCUAGAGUCCGGAAGAGGAGAAUGGAAUUCCCGGUGUAGCGGUGAAAUGCGCAGAUAUCGGGAAGAACACCCGUGGCGAAGGCGGUUCUCUGGGACGGUACUGACGCUGAGACGCGAAAGCGUGGGGAGCGAACAGG